rnacentral:rRNA from 1 species
UACGAAGGGUGCAAGCGUUACUCGGAAUUACUGGGCGUAAAGCGUGCGUAGGUGGUUUGUUAAGUCUGCUGUGAAAGCCCCGGGCUCAACCUGGGAAUGGCAGUGGAUACUGGCAAGCUAGAGUGCGGUAGAGGGAUGUGGAAUUCCCGGUGUAGAGGUGAAAUUCGUAGAUAUUGGGAAGAACACCGGUGGCGAAGGCGGCUCUCUGGACCGAUACUGACGCUGAGGCGCGAAAGCGUGGGGAGCAAACAGG